GCCCUUAGUCGGGUGAAAUUUCUCGCUCUCUCCUUCCUUUCCAGACGCACUAUCGAUCCUAUCUAGCUACUUUCUCUGCCUCUUUUGUGCUUGCUCUCUUGUGUGAAUCCUACGUUAGUCUUCUUAAACACCUUCUUCUUCUUUGUUUGAAUCCAAGUUCAUCUUCUCAUUUGUCUUCUUUUUCCCAAGUUCCGGCCCCCCCUUUGUUCUUCCCCCCCUUCUAUUUUCUUGCAAUUUUCUUUCAAUUGAUUGAAUCUAGUUAUUGUUUUCUCUCUAAUUAUGAAAUUGAUCAUGUAAUUUUGUGUUUUAAUUAGAAUUUUUGAAUUUUAGGGUUCGUCGUUGGGGUCGAAUUUUAGAUUUGUUGUUGGUGUUGAACUUUCAUCCAUAUCAGUAUAUUGUUUAGUACUUGGGAUUGGGUGUGGAAUUUUAGAUUCUUCAUGAACAUCAGCAGUAUUCGCUGGUCGAUUGGGUGUAGAUGUUGCAUCGAGAAGGGCGUAUUGAAGAAGCUGUAGAUGAGUGGCUAAAAAACAAUUUUGUGUAAACACUGCCAAAUGAAAAUCGUAUCCCAUGUACGACAGAUUGAAUGUUAUUUUUGGAAAAGACUGAGCAACCAGAGUAUGAGCUACAAUUCCUACUGAGAUGAUGAAGGAGCCUAAGCAAAUUAAUGGAGAUGAAGAUGAAGCUGAGGUGGAGACUAGUUCUCCCUCUAUUGCUCAACGUUCUAGCAAUUCAAGUACCAAGAAAAGGAAGAGGUCAGCUGCUAAUGAUAAUGAUCUAGCUGUGACAUUUAAAGAAAUGCUUUCUGAACCAGUUGAUAAGUUGGGUGAAGUUUUACAAGCUGCUUUUGGGAAAGGAGUGGAUCCAAAACCUAAGAUUGCUUCAAAAUUGUCAAAUAUGGAUUUGUCUAUUGAGGAUCAAAUCAAGACACUGAAUAUCAUUUUCGAAAAGCCACAGAAUGAGAGGACAUUAUUGUCUUUGGAUGGUUCAAUGAAAAAAAUCCUUCGUACUCAUGUUAGUUGGAUAAAGUAAUCGCAGUUGACAUUAGAAAACAACAACAAUAUAUUUUGUUAAAAGCAACAUGCAUAUCUUUUGUUAAAAGCUACAACAUGUAUAUAUUUUGAGUACUUGGACAAAUUGCUUCUUACUAAAAGCAAAGCAGCAUCAUGCACAUAUUUUGGUUAUCUGGACAAACUGUUUCUUACUGAAACCAGCUUGCAUUUGUAUAUUUUGUGAAUUUGGAUAUGUGGUUGGAUUAAUCUAUAUAACGUGACGACUGCAGUUGUGUUUUGUGAACCUUCUUUUAUGUUAUUGGAAAAUAUUGUGAA